rnacentral:rRNA from 1 species
AGCGCAGGCGGACCGGCAAGUUGGAAGUGAAAACCAUGGGCUCAACCCGUGAAUUGCUUUCAAAACUGCUGGCCUUGAGUAGUGCAGAGGUAGGUGGAAUUCCCGGUGUAGCGGUGGAAUGCGUAGAUAUCGGGAGGAACACCAGUGGCGAAGGCGACCUACUGGGCACCAACUGACGCUGAGGCUCGAAAGCAUGGGUGCAAACA